rnacentral:lncRNA from 1 species
UCUCUUCUUCUUCUCUCUUCACUCCCUCCUCCCUCUCACCCUCUCUUAAGCCGCCUCCACUGCCAUUACCGUGCGCUGCCAUCGGUGGUGGUCCAAUCACACCCAAACUUUCACCCCUCCCCCCAAUAUCAACCUCCUCUUUUCAUAUUCAUACCCCAAAUCCUCAAACUCCCUCACAAUCUCCGCGAAUCUAGCAAAAAUCGAAACCCUAGCCGCCCCCUUUCCUCAAAAUUUCUCGAGUUUUAGCUGCCCCACACCAUAACACCUACAAUGGAUAGAUCUCAACGAAAUCUAUCCAUUUCUACCAAUUUCACCCCUAAAAGCACACUACCGCGAGCCAACCGCCCUCACUGUUCGUCGCCUCUGCCACCACCCUUGUUGCCCCUAAAACCACCUUAGCCCUCUGUUUUAAAAUAUAUUCGACCUAAGGACACCCGUUUCCUUUUGGUAUGACUCCUAAUUCAUUGAAUUUAGCGUUUACCAAAAUGAAACAAGCGUUCUAAGGUCAGACAUCUGUUGUUCGAGGUGCUCGACACCUCCUCACUACCCAAGAUAGUAUCGAAUCCCGUUUUGUGGUAAUAUCAUAGUUCCCCUUCUAUUUUUCUAAUUUGUUGCUUCUGUAAUUGGGUUUAGGUUUAGUUUAAUUGUAUAUUCCCCUUUUAAUUUAUGUGAACCCAUUUAGUUGGGUACGGAGUUUAAGAAAAGAGAAAAGAUUUUUGAACUUGUGGUGGUAAAAUGAAGCACAUAUAUUUUGUAUUUCCAAAUAGGGAAAAUGGUCAUUCUUUUUGGAACGGACUAAAAAAAAUAGGUUCACAUAAAUUGAAACGGAUGGAGUAUUUCUUAUUGAUAGUUAAUUGCUCGUUCUGAUCAGUGUCAAUUCGAUAGAUCACGUUCAGUUUGCGUAUUCGCUUAAUUGUUUGCUUGAUUUAGCCAUGAAUCAUUUCUCUGAUCGCAAGUGAAUCAGUUUUUCCAUAUGAUUAGGUUCUGAUUAGCUACUAUUAAUAAUCAUUUAUUUAGUUGUUGUUAGUCGUUGUCGGAUAGUUGACAAUGCUUGUUUAAUUUCUGUUUCGCACUUUAGUUGGUGAAUUCAGUUUUUCCAUGUUAGUUUGCACAAAUCAAAUCGUUUUAAUCUAGUUAGUUUGAGUAUUACUUCUAUUUGUUUCUAUUUUGGCUGCCCAUAGUUGUUUGAAUCUGAUUUGUGUGUGAGCAAGUAGGGUGGUACUGUUAUUUGCUGAAAAGCUGAAGAGUAGAUAUGUUUGAUCAUGAGAGUAGGGUACUUGUUUGGAUGCUUUUUACUGUUUAAAGACUAUUUAGAGUAUACUGCUCCUAGUACUAUUUACAGUUAGUGAAAAAAUUAUCCUUUGGACAGAUUUUUGAACCAAAAGUCUGUCCUUUGAAUAGUUAGAGCAGAUUUUAGGUAAAAAAUAUGUCCUAUAAAAAAAAUUCAAUCAUGCAUGCAUUGCCUCUUCUCCUAUAAAAGACUACAUCAUCUUUACAUAUUCUGGACACAUAUUACACUCUAACACAUUACACACAUCUUUAGGGGUCGUUUGGUAGGAUGCAUUAGAUAAAAUAAUGCAUGAAUUAGCUUUGUGUAUUAAUAAUACAUUGUUUGAUACACAUUUUGAACUCAUGGAUUAGUUAUGCAAGCAUUAGUUAUACAUCAUAUUUGGUAUUGUCCUAUGCAUAACUAAUGCAUAGAAAACAAUGGUAUUAGCAAUGAAUGAAUUUUAAUGCAUGCAUUAGCUUAGUUAAAGACAAAAGUGUCCUUCAAAAUUUAUGUUUGAUUAAAAUAUGCUAGUUAGUAUAUUAAUGCAAGUUCAAAAUAACCCAAAUAGUGAGAAAUAAAAUUAUAUCCCUAGUAAAUAAAUAAAUACUUAGCAUAUUUUCUUUUUUUAUAAAUAAAUGUUUAAUUUUAUUUUACAAUAUAGGUAGACAAAUCAAAUAAUUUUUUGUAAACUUUUUCAUAUAAAAAUAUUUCUCAACAUAUGUUUUUUUAAAAAAGUUAGAGUGUGAACUAGUUUUGAGGGCAUUUUUGUAAGCAAACAAUUCUUUUAGAAAUUGUGCAAUGCUUUAAUAGAUCAAACUAAACAAUGAAUAAGAAAUAUGUCAGCAUAACUAAUACCAACAUAACUAAUGCAAGCAUAACUAAUAUCAGCAUUACUAAUACACCCUAUUCAGCAUUAUUCUUAUGCACCCUACCAAACGACCCCUUAGAGUUAUUUGAAUAUACAAAAACUUGAGAGAAAAUCAGCAACUGAACACAUAACGAGUAAGCUGAAUGUUCUGAGUUUUUUGUUGAGCCUUAGAGUGCAAAAUCUUUCAGAAACAUAUAAGAGUCUUAGAGUUUGAUUUUGAGUUCCUUCUCUUAAAGAAUCACUGGUUUUAGUGAGAUUUUUGGGCUGUUUUAAUACGGAUUCACUACUGGUUUAUUGUUGUUUCUGCUGUCAUUGUUGCUGGAAUUUCUGUUUCAUUCAUCACCGAUCUUUGCUUUUCUCUUAUCCAGGUAUUCCUAACAUGCUACUGUAAUCUUUGGAUUAAAAAUGAAUGGAAAUGAAGCUAUUUGAGUUCCCUCCAGUUUAUUAUAAGUUUGAAAGUAUUUUAUUUCUUGUAUAAUUUUGGUAUGGAAGCAUGCUUAAUAAAUCUUUUGUAGUUG